CGCCCCCUCCUCCCCGAUUCCUCUCCCUCCCCCUCUUCCUCGUCUGCUGCCGCCACCACUCACCGGAGCCCUCCCCCACCGCCGCCGCCGCCGCUGCCGCCACCGCCAGCGCCACCACCAGCGCCCUGGCCAACAGCCUACAACCCACCCCCCUCUCCUGCUUAUCUUAUCCCCACCACUGGCAAGCUCCCCCCCUUCACCUCGCCCCAGAUCGAAUGCCAUGGACAAGGAGAGCAUCUCUCUCUGAUCAUGAAGCAGCCCCAACCCUAGCCCUUCUUUGGCCAUGGCGGCUGAGUAGGCAGGAGAUAAAGAAAGCACUGCGUGGUGUUCGUGUUGAAGCAAACCACCAGAAAGACCAAAUCAGAAAAUAGAAGAUAACAGGAAUUACUCCUGUCCACAUUGAGCCAGCGGAAAUUUCCUGUUGAUGAGAGAGGAACAAUAAUGCCAGUCGUUCAGUACUUCAAGGACAUAUACAACUGCAAUCUGCAGUAUACUACUUGGCCCUGCCUGCAGUCUGGAAGUGAUUAUCGGCCUGUAUAUUUGCCUAUGGAGGCAUGCAAGCUUGUUGAAGGGCAAAGGUACUCUAAGAAGUUGAAUUAUAAACAGGUCACCAACAUACUUAGAGCUACCUGUCAACGUCCCCAGCAGAGGGAGCAAAGCAUUCAUGAGGCACCUGUAUUUAGAUGCUGUGAAUACUGAUAGUAAAUUAUUUUUUCUUAUAGUCUGGAUCAUCUGCUGCACAUUUGUUAAUUUUUUUGAUGACCAGAUUUCGCUAGGCAAUUUCAUGAGUGGGUGCCUGCACAAAUUGCUCGAGUAUUUUCAGCCACAUCAAUGUCCAGCACCUCUUGUAACAAUAUGGACGGCCACUACUUCUUCGGCUCAAGCGAUCGACCCCUUCGCCGACGAUGAAUCGACGUCCGGAGCUCUACAGAAACUACCAGCAUGACAGUUGCAAAUACGAGGAGCAGUGCAGGUUCGUGCACGCCAACUCUAACCAACAGUGAACCCAACCAAUUCAGGUUUUGGUACCGGGAGCAGGCAACAGCCGCAACAUAUUGUUUGGUUAGAGGCAUGCUAAUCAAUCAAUUGAGCAACAACUGAAUUCUGGAGGUAGUGCUGGAUUAUGGAAACUAUUUUAUGAUUUCAUAAUUUUUCUUUUCCAUCAUCUUUCAGUUCUUACCCAUUGCUCUGCUUUUGUAUUCUGCUAUCCUCUGUUGUAGUUUUGUGAGUUUAUCUGUUGUUAAUCCACCAACAGAAGGAAUGCAACAGAAAUGUGCAUGUUAAUGCUUACUAGAUACAUGAUUUCUUUCUUCCGUAGACGAUCCAAAUAUGGGCAUGUAUACUUCAAGACUUAAUUCUAACCAGGCGCUAAGGAAAUCCGCUCUGAACUAAGAAGGAAGAACAGAAGCAACAGCGUACAUCACGAAGAUAGGCACAGAUAAAUGGAUGCAUUCCAAUCCUUCUGAUCCAAAUAUAGAAAAGCAUCCUAUUAGAUUGGUCACCACAGGGUGAGUAUUAUCUAACUUCUCUCCACUGUAAGUAUAACAUAAAUGUAGGAAUGAUUGAACUUACGGAUUUAGAGUGUGAUGCUAAUUAAAUUACACGCACAACCAAAUUAUUUAUUUUUACUUUCAUAAUAGUAAGAUAUGACUUCUGAAGACUUUGUGGUAUGUUCUUGCGUGAUUUUUUUUUCAUAAAUGGGUCUUCAAUUUUGUUUUCAAACCUUUACAUGCCAUCAAUAGUUGUGGAGAUAUCUAUGCGUUUGGUGCUAAAUCGUCAUUUGGUGUGGCGAUCAUGACCAAUGGUAAUGUUUUAAUAGGCUGGAAACCUCCAUCAUUCGUCUAGCUACAAAUUUCAAACUAAUGUCAUAUAUGCGAGUGUCAGCAUCGUGGAAACACUGAGACCUAUUCUGUGAGAAAUAUGAAAUAUGUUUUGGAAAACAUGUGUCAUAAGUUAAUCAUGGGAAAAAAUAAAUCAAAAGAUAUCUUCUAUUCACGUUUUAUUUGUUUUGCUUAUAUACCUAACAAUCAGUGGCAUUUCUUUUUCUAUUUUUUUGCUUCCAUAAAUUUGAUGGGAAGUAGCCAAUGUAUAGUGUUGCUUCACUUACUAUGCUAUAAGCCUUUUUUUGGGCAUUAACUCUGCUGCCAAAGGCAUAUGUAAGCCUUAGAUAUAUGCACUAUAGAAGAAAUGUGGAAUGUUCUGUUAAAGCGUCACAACAUCAAUAAGAAUCUUGCACGCUGUUUAGAUGGUCGAUGGAGAGAUCAAGCAGACUUUUCCCACUAACUUUUUGUCGUCCGUGUCCAGUUUGACGCAGGCUGCCUCCGAACAGCAUGUUGCUUAUGUACAAAUCUUGGAAAAAACUAAUUCUGGAAGCAUCCUUUGAAUAUCAGUACAAACCGGUGCAAUUUUUUAGAUUGAUGUUUCCUAUUGCUCAUCAAUAUAGGUUGCUUUGCCUCUGUCUAUGGUGUUUUUUUUUCUGGAUGGAAUCAUCACCAAAAAAUUCAAAGCAGGUGAUUCUUCCCUUCAGAAUUUAUUCAUUCCCCCCUUAGCUUCCUGAAGAACCAUCAUGUAUCUUAUCCUAAUAGUUUGUGUAUAUAUGUUAAGAAAUGCAAUUCAAGGGACUCGACCAGUAAAAUGGAGUUUUGAUUGGGUAAUUUAAUUAUAGCCUUGAUUACCAUUGUCAAUUUUGUCGUGCAACAACUAACAAGGUAUUGGCUUGCAUACAUGCAAUUUUUAGCAAACAUUAUUCUUAGGAGGUCUCUAUACUUAUCAUUUAACUGCAACAAAGAAUUCAAGCGGCGCUGAUACAAUUGCUGAUCACUUGAUCUGAUGCUUUGCAGAGUAACCACUGAGAAUAUGAAAGAGAGCUUGCAAUUCCAUUCGUCAAUGUGCAGUGGCAGGGAACAAAUUUACAUUUUGUAGCGGCGACAUCAACGGAUGGAGGGUACGCCUGCUGCAGUGGACUUUGUCAUCUCAUCAACAUCCUCGCCCGUGACAGUACACGGAAGCUUUCUCUUGCUGUUGAAAUCUCUGAAGAAUUUUAUGGAAGAUUGCAUCAAGGGGGAUAUAUUGGUUUUGAGGCACCAGCACUUUUUUGCUUAGGAGUAGUUUUGCUGCUUUGUUGAUAAGCAUACUGAAGGUAUUAUUUCUUUUUCACGACGAGGGCGGUGGCGGGGGUUGCUGCAGCUCCAGCGUGGCCCUGGAGCUCAUGGUGUGCCUCAUACUGUACCUCAACUACCUGUACGUCUGAUGGAGCAAAAGGGACGGUGUGCAUCGAACGGGGCCGGGUCGAUGAGGAAGAGGACCGGCAGAGGGGGCUCGACAAGGUGUCACAUUCAAAAGGCGCGGACGCAUGGUUGCGACAGCAAGGUCGGGGAGGAGUGUGCAGUCUACCUGGGUGCCAUGCAAGAUGGAUACGGCACGGUGGUCGGGCCGACAUGGAGCAUUCUCAUUAUUAUGGAAAAUGAUGGAUAGCAAAAUCCACAAGAUCACCAGCCGAGGGGGGAGGGUGGCUUGACAAGGCGGUGCUGGCAGCUAUGCCCAUGCCAGUGUUCAGAUUCAAGGGGGUCGCGCGAUGGCGCAAAGAUUGGUAGCCACUGCAUAUGUGUUGCUUCAUCAUCAUGCCUUGGAAGCAUGGGUGGCUUCCGCUGCUUGAUGGUUAGCCAUCCAGUACACAAUUAUUUUUUGUUAGCUUGUUUCAAUUGGAAGCAAUAAUUUUUUGCUAUGACUUCUAGAUUGUAAUCCUUCUUGACUUUUGAAUCAGUGAUAAGUGUAAUCCUACUUGACUUUGCAUCAGUGAUAAAUGAUUCAAUGAGUUUGUAAUUAAA